rnacentral:rRNA from 1 species
AGAAUCAACGCUGGCGGCGUGCCUAACACAUGCAAGUCGAACGAGAAAGUGGAGCAAUCCAUGAGUACAGUGGCGUACGGGUGAGUAACACGUGACUAACCUACCCUCGAGUGGGGAAUAACCUCGGGAAACCGGGGCUAAUACCGCAUAACAUCUUCGGAUCAAAUGCGCAAGCAGCUUGAGGAGGGGUCGCGGCCGAUUAGCUAGUUGGUGGGGUAAUGGCCCACCAAGGCAAUGAUCGGUA